rnacentral:rRNA from 1 species
CUACGGGCCGCUGCAGUGAGGAAUAUUGCACAAUGGGGGGAACCCUGAUGCAGCAACGCCGCGUGGAGGAUGACGCAUUUCGGUGUGUAAACUCCUUUUAUAUGUCAAGAAAAUGACGGUAGCAUAUGAAUAAGCACCGGCUAACUCCGUGCCAGCAGCCGCGGUAAUACGGAGGGUGCAAGCGUUACUCGGAAUCACUGGGCGUAAAGGAGCGGUAGGCGGGUUGGAAAGUCAGGUGUGAAAUCCUACAGCUUAACUGUAGAACUGCACUUGAAACUUCUAAUCUAGAGUAUGGGAGGGGGAGAUGGAAUUAGUGGUGUAGGGGUAAAAUCCGUAGAUAUCACUAGGAAUACCUAAAGCGAAGGCGAUCUCCUGGAACAUUACUGACGCUAAGGCGUGAAAGCGUGGGGAGCAAACAGGAUUAGAUACCCGAGUAGUC